rnacentral:tRNA from 1 species
GGGAGUUAUGGGAUUGUCGCUGCUAACGAUGAUUAGAAUAGUAAUUUAUUCAGCUUCC